rnacentral:rRNA from 1 species
CUACGGGUGCAGCAGUGGGGAAUAUUGCACAAUGGAGGAAACUCUGAUGCAGCAACGCCGCGUGGAGGAUGACACUUUUCGGAGCGUAAACUCCUUUUAUAUAGGAAGAAGAUGACGGUACUAUAUGAAUAAGCGCCGGCUAACUCCGUGCCAGCAGCCGCGGUGAUACGGAGGGCGCAAGCGUUACUCGGAAUCACUGGGCGUAAAGAGCGUGUAGGCGGAUUAAAAAGUCAGAAGUGAAAUCCUAUAGCUUAACUAUAGAACUGCUUCUGAAACUCUUAAUCUAGAAUAUGGGAGAGGUAGAUGGAGUUUCUGGUGUAGGGGUAAAAUCCGUAGAGAUCAGAAGGAAUACCGAUUGCGAAGGCGAUCUACUAGAACAUUAUUGACGCUGAGACGCGAAAGCGUGGGGAGCAAACAGGAUUAGAUACCCUCGUAGUC